AACCUUGUAGGUUUUUUGCCUUUAUAAGCCUUCCACAUUAUGUAGUCCCUCCGAACACAAUUCAAAUGCUUGUAUCUAUUUCCUGGCUGCAGUCCCAACAAACCCCAAACAAAUGCCUCUUUAUUCCAAUCAGGUCUCUGUUUCUGAAAUGUUGGUUAAUAGCUCUAAACACUUUAUUGUUUCAUUAAACCCACAAGAAACUAAACCCACAAGAUGAGGAGAGUAAAGGAUUAAUAGAGAAGUUAAGAAAUUACCAAAAAUCAUAUAGCACAUAAGUGGUGAUGCCUUUGGUCCGCAAAACAAGAGUUAUAGAAUGCACUGAGAGAAUAAGACAAAACACACAGGGUUUGGAAUGAGGCUUUGAGGAACUGUAGAGAAUGCUUGAAUCGUCACCCUAAGGAAUACAAUAAGGUGGCAAGCCCUCUUAGAUUUACUGAGAGCUAUGUCCUGUCACUUCAAUUUUCCACCACAAAAUCAGUAAUUGAGUAAAGAAUACUCAACAAAGACAAAAGGAAAUACUAAACAAAGACUUAGCUGAGGUAACUAUUGUUUUGCUCUAUUAGGGCUGAUUCUUCUUUGUAGAAAUUUCAAUGCCCAUCUCUCUCUGAUUUCCUUUUACCCACCUCUUACGUAAUCACCACUCCACAAGAAAUCUCCUCAGAGAUAACAAUGUAUCCAGUAAAUCCUAUUGGAGAGGAGAGAAAUUGGAGGUUUUAAAAGAAGCAGAAAGGAGGCUGCAAAACCCAGGCUUUAGGUGACUAAAGCUGCGAUGAUGACAAUGGAGAAGGAAAAAAUGUCGAGAUUGGGGUGUCUACCCAAACUGGAGUUUUGAUCUCAUUCUAUAGAAGAAAGAGCUCCAGAAGAGAGAAGAAAGAGAAAAGAGAGAAAUGGCUAGAGUCUUAAGGAGUACAAAGGAGAAUAUUAGGCAAGGUUGGUAGGAUAUGUGAAAUUUUGAAGUCUCAAUGAAUUUUAUGAUGUUUUAUCACAGACUGUAUUAUAAACACAAGCCACCAACCACUUCCCCAUCCUUCUAUUUCUACCUUUAUAUGAGACUUCAGUCAUCACUUAACGUUAUUUUCCAAUUUGUGGGCGAGUCAAAUAUGUGUUUCUCUGUAAUGUGAUACUUUGUAGAGUUGUGCCCUACAAGAGUGACCUUCAAAGAACAGAUUUAUCUUUCUUUAUACAUGUGUCAAUUAUUAUUAUAAUUUGAUU